CGUCUUUCUGAGGCUCAGCCACCAUCCAUAAAGAAGAGGCACACUGGUAUGGAGUCUGUGCCCUCAUUAUGGGCCUUUUAGGUUUUGCCAUCUGCAAGUG